CCCCGUGCCAGAGCCCCCUCCCCCCCCGUCGCUGCCUGCCUGCGCAGCGCCGAGCACGGCCCAAGCCCCCCCGCAGGCAGGUGGCGGGGUCCCCUGCGAGGGUCGCUCUCCCCCCACCUCUCAGCCCAGCGCCAGCAGCCCAUCCCGGUGGGACCCCUUCGCCCCGCUCCCCGCUGCGGGUCGCGCACCCCUUCGCCCUGCUCCCUGCUCUGGGCCGCGCGUGGCACACGGAGAUCGUUAGUGCAUCUCUCGGGCUGGUGCAAGAUUUCAGCUGGCGUCUCGGGCGCUCCCAGACAGCAAAUGCUCCCCCAGGGGCACAUCACGGGCCAUUUUUGAUCGUUUCUAACUCUAUUAUUGGGGAGUUUCAUUUCAGCUUUGCUUGGAGACUUGCAGUUUGCCAGGUCCAGCCAGUCUGGGGCUGUGAAGGUUAAUUGCAGCAGCCUGCAAGGCGCUGGAGCACAAACCAUGCUCCCGGCCCGGGGCGGCGCGGGCUGCGUCCCUCUGCGGCUGUCCGGCGGUCCGGGCAGCAGAGGAUGUGGGGCUGCUGAGGGCCCCCCUGGCCUGCGGGAGCCCGCCGCAGGGAGGAGAGCUCGCUGCGGGCCAGGCGGGGGGUCCUGCGCCUGCUCCUGGGUCCUGUCCUGGCUGCGUGGCUGGGCUACGCCCUGCGCCCCUGCCCCGUGCCUCGGUUUCCCGUACUGGAGAGCAGAUGAUGCUGAUCCAUGCCGUGACGGAGCAGAGGGAAGGUUAAGCGAUCAGUUGGCACUGCAGGAGAGGGCUCAGCAGGACGGCCCUUGGCUGCGAGCCCAGGAGCAGAGCUGGAAACCCCAGAUUACUUGCUUAAAAUGGCAAUGCUGGGCAGCGAUAAGAUUCCUGGCCUCCGCGUGGCUGCGAGGAGGGGAGGUCGCCGCCGCCGCGCAGAGGGGCACGUGCAAGGGAGCUCGGCCCUCGCCUGCAGGCUGCUCCCGAGCGGCUCGCAGCCCCACGCCGGCUGCGGCCAGGAGCGCGCCUGCCGCCGCAGCCCGUGGAGCAGGCGUCCGCCCGACGGAGAGGGUGCCGAGGUGCCGGGGAGCCCGGGCGCGCGCUCCCCUCGGCAGCCCCCGCGCCGCGGGGCGGCUGGCAGGCGCCGUGCAGGCAGCGAGGGUCUCAGCGUGGUGCAGCCCCUGGGAGAGGGGGUUGCUCCGGGCUACUCCCCAAGGGCUUGGGAAGGCCGGUGCACCGCGGCCAGCCCCACCACGCCGUGGGGCUGCUGCAGCCCUCCGACGACCCCGGGAGCACUGAGCAAACCUGGUUCGCAAAGAAGCGAUGCCGCAGACGUGUGAGUCUGUGUAAGCAUCCAGGUAGUGUGGAGCCUUGCACGCAGUUAUCUGCUGAACAUCCCUGCUGUUACCUGCUGAACAUCCCUGCUGUUAUCUGUUGAACAUCCUUGCUGGAAUCUGCUGACCGUGCAUAUUUGUUGACCACCCUGUUGACCAUCCUGUUAUCGGCGAAGGCCGCCGGCUCUGUUGUGUAACCCCGGUCUGGCGCUGAUCGGCUGGAUAACGAACUAAGCCUGGGGAGGAUAAAAGCCACAUACCUCUGGCGUGGACUCGGGCUCGCCGUCAGCUGGCCUGCGGACCCUGCAGGCCACCCAUCAGCGAGGGUGAUGCCCUCCACCCUGAUGCCGCCUGCCAGGGAGAGCCUGAGUCAUCUUGGCACAGCUCGUGCGUGGUGAGAGCAAUCCGGGGAAAACUGUACCGGAGGGGUGGCCCACAAGGGCAAGGAAAGGGCGAGAGCCGUCAUUGUACGGUGCAUCCGCGGCUGGACCACGGCGCUCUGAUACGUGUGUUUUAUUUUUAGGUCUUUCCUAUGCCUUUUUAGCUUUGUUACAUUUGUUAUGCUUGUAGGCUGCCUGGUGUUAAUUGCUUAGGGUUGUCCAGCGACCGUCAUAUGUGCAGAACCACUUAGCUUCAAUAAACUCUUAAGCUUGACAAAUGACAA